rnacentral:rRNA from 1 species
GAUGAACGCUAGCGGGAGGCUUAACACAUGCAAGUCGAGGGGCAGCACGAGGUAGCAAUACUUUGGUGGCGACCGGCGCACGGGUGAGUAACGCGUAUGCAACCUGCCCUGUACAGGGGGAUAACCCGGAGAAAUUCGGACUAAUACCCCAUAAAGAUAUUUAGAGGCAUCUUUGAAUAUUUAAAGUUCCGGCGGUACGGGAUGGGCAUGCGUAACAUUAGCUAGUUGGUAAGGUAACGGCUUACCAAGGCAACGAUGUUUAGGGGUCCUGAGAGGGUGAUCCCCCACACUGGUACUGAGACACGGACCAGACUCCUACGGGAGGCAGCAGUGAGGAAUAUUGGUCAAUGGGCGCAAGCCUGAACCAGCCAUCCCGCGUGAAGGAAGAAUGCGCUAUGCGUUGUAAACUUCUUUUCCAGGGGAAUAAAAUUUUGUACGUGUACGGAAUUGAAGGUACCCUGGGAAUAAGCAUCGGCUAACUCCGUGCCAGCAGCCGCAGUAACAC